rnacentral:rRNA from 1 species
CAGUCGCCGCGGUAAUACGGAGGGUGCAAGCGUUAAUCGGAAUUACUGGGCGUAAAGCGUGCGUAGGCGGUUCGUUAAGUCUGUUGUGAAAGCCCCGGGCUCAACCUGGGAAUGGCAAUGGAUACUGGCGAGCUAGAGUGUGUCAGAGGAUGGUGGAAUUCCCGGUGUAGCGGUGAAAUGCGUAGAGAUCGGGAGGAACAUCAGUGGCGAAGGCGGCCAUCUGGGGCAACACUGACGCUGAGGCACGAAAGCGUGGGGAGCAAACAGGAUUAGAUACCCCGGUAGUCCCUGUCUCUUAUAC